GACGAACGCUGGCGGCAUGCCUUACACAUGCAAGUCGAACGGCAGCACGGGUGCUUGCACCUGGUGGCGAGUGGCGAACGGGUGAGUAAUAUAUCGGAACGUACCUUAUUGUGGGGGAUAACGCAGCGAAAGCUGUGCUAAUACCGCAUAAUCCCUAAGGGGAAAAGCGGGGGACCGUAAGGCCUCGCGCAAUUAGAGCGGCCGAUACCUGAUUAGCUAGUUGGUGAGGUAAAGGCUCACCAAGGCAACGAUCAGUAGCUGGUCUGAGAGGACGAUCAGCAACACUGGGACUGAGACACGGCCCAGACUCCUACGGGAGGCAGCAGUGGGGAAUUUUGGACAAUGGGGGCAACCCUGAUCCAGCAAUGCCGCGUGAGUGAAGAAGGCCUUCGGGUUGUAAAGCUCUUUUGUCAGGGAAGAAACAGCAGCUCUAACACAGUUUGCGAAUGACGGUACCUGAAGAAUAAGCACCGGCUAACUACGUGCCAGCAGCCGCCGUAA
rnacentral:rRNA from 1 species